CGGGACACGUGGUAUCCUGUCUGAAUAUGGGGGGACCAUCCUCCAAGGCUAAAUACUCCUGACUGACCGAUAGUGAACCAGUACCGUGAGGGAAAGGCGAAAAGAACCCCGGCGAGGGGAGUGAAAAAGAACCUGAAACCGUGUACGUACAAGCAGUGGGAGCACGCUUAGGCGUGUGACUGCGUACCUUUUGUAUAAUGGGUCAGCGACUUAUAUUCUGUAGCAAGGUUAACCGAAUAGGGGAGCCGAAGGGAAACCGAGUCUUAACUGGGCGUUAAGUUGCAGGGUAUAGACCCGAAACCCGGUGAUCUAGCCAUGGGCAGGUUGAAGGUUGGGUAACACUAACUGGAGGACCGAACCGACUAAUGUUGAAAAAUUAGCGGAUGACUUGUGGCUGGGGGUGAAAGGCCAAUCAAACCGGGAGAUAGCUGGUUCUCCCCGAAAGCUAUUUAGGUAGCGCCUCGUGAAUUCAUCUCCGGGGGUAGAGCACUGUUUCGGCAAGGGGGUCAUCCCGACUUACCAACCCGAUGCAAACUGCGAAUACCGGAGAAUGUUAUCACGGGAGACACACGGCGGGUGCUAACGUCCGUCGUGAAGAGGGAAACAACCCAGACCGCCAGCUAAGGUCCCAAAGUCAUGGUUAAGUGGGAAACGAUGUGGGAAGGCCCAGACAGCCAGGAUGUUGGCUUAGAAGCAGCCAUCAUUUAAAGAAAGCGUAAUAGCUCACUGGUCGAGUCGGCCUGCGCGGAAGAUGUAACGGGGCUAAACCAUGCACCGAAGCUGCGGCAGCGACGCUUAUGCGUUGUUGGGUAGGGGAGCGUUCUGUAAGCCUGUGAAGGUGUACUGUGAGGUAUGCUGGAGGUAUCAGAAGUGCGAAUGCUGACAUAAGUAACGAUAAAGCGGGUGAAAAGCCCGCUCGCCGGAAGACCAAGGGUUCCUGUCCAACGUUAAUCGGGGCAGGGUGAGUCGACCCCUAAGGCGAGGCCGAAAGGCGUAGUCGAUGGGAAACAGGUUAAUAUUCCUGUACUUGGUGUUACUGCGAAGGGGGGACGGAGAAGGCUAUGUUGGCCGGGCGACGGUUGUCCCGGUUUAAGCGUGUAGGCUGGUUUUCCAGGCAAAUCCGGAAAAUCAAGGCUGAGGCGUGAUGACGAGGCACUACGGUGCUGAAGCAACAAAUGCCCUGCUUCCAGGAAAAGCCUCUAAGCAUCAGGUAACAUCAAAUCGUACCCCAAACCGACACAGGUGGUCAGGUAGAGAAUACCAAGGCGCUUGAGAGAACUCGGGUGAAGGAACUAGGCAAAAUGGUGCCGUAACUUCGGGAGAAGGCACGCUGAUAUGUAGGUGAAGUCCCUCGCGGAUGGAGCUGAAAUCAGUCGAAGAUACCAGCUGGCUGCAACUGUUUAUUAAAAACACAGCACUGUGCAAACACGAAAGUGGACGUAUACGGUGUGACGCCUGCCCGGUGC
rnacentral:rRNA from 1 species